GGCGCGCACCUCUGGCUGCAGGAAGGUAGCGACUGUGGAAUGCGAAUUGGUGCUGGGUCCUUCGGACGAUCAGUGGCGCUGCCACCGCCUUCUGCUCGAGGCUUGAGGAGGGAGCCUUGGGCUUGGGCUGAGGCUCCCGGAUCUGCGGUGUUGCUCCCCGGAUAACUGGAAUGGAUCUGCAGCUGCUGCAGCUGUAGUGGGCAGCGCUAGUAUUGGAUGGCGUGUGUGACAGCAGCAGAUCCAGCCUCACUAGGAUUAAAUGUGCGUGGAGCCGGAGGAAGUUUCACAAUCUGAAACACACUGGAACCUACGAAGAGGAAUGACGACUUCAUAAGAGAACUUUCCUACAGUUGCUUUCUUUCCUUGUUCCGAAUCAUGAUGCCCCCAGCCAAUAAUGUACCAUUCACUUAAGAUGGGAUUUACCCUGGGAAAGGGAUAUCCAAACCAUGAAUCCUGAGCAUCUUUUCAGCCUCUUACUUGUCCGUUAUUUUUGUUAGACUUCUGUGUACAUUGUUAGCAGAAACAAUUCUACUGCCUUGCUCAGCUUGAGCCUUCCUACUCCUGUUGAGCCUUCAAGUGCGCUGAUUCUUCUGCAUCAUGGCUUCAGUGUGGAAAAGACUGCAGCGUGUUGGGAAACAUGCAUCCAAGUUCCAGUUUGUGGCCUCUUAUCAGGAACUGAUGGUUGAGUGCACCAAGAAAUGGGUCUGCUGCACAGAGGCACCUGCAGGGGGAGUUGGGGCACGUGAUGCAAGCACU